rnacentral:rRNA from 1 species
GGAGGGAGCAAGCGUUGUUCGGAUUUACUGGGCGUAAAGGGCGUGUAGGCGGCCUAUCAAGUCGGGCGUGAAAUCCUCUGGCUCAACCAGAGAACUGCACCCGAAACUGAUAGGCUUGAGUAUAGGAGAGGAAAGCGGAAUUCCUGGUGUAGCGGUGAAAUGCGUAGAUAUCAGGAAGAACACCAGUGGCGAAGGCGGCUUUCUGGCCUACUACUGACGCUGAUGCGCGAAAGCCGGGGGAGCGAACAGGGAUUAGAUACCCUGGUAGUCCCGGCCGUAAACGUUGGGCACUAGGUGUAGGGGGUAUCGACCCCCCUCUGUGCCCGAAGCUAACGCAUUAAGUGCCCCGCCUGGGGGAGUACGACCGCAAGGUUG